AGAGUUUGAUCAUGGCUCAGGAUGAACGCUGGCGGUAUGCUUAACACAUGCAAGUCGAACGGGCUCUUCGGAGCUAGUGGCGGACGGGUGAGUAAUGCGUAAGAAUCUAGCUUGAGGUCGGGGACAACAGUUGGAAACGGCUGCUAAUACCGGAUAUGCGGAAACGUGAAAGAGAAAUUGCCUCAAGAAGAGCUUGCGUCCGAUUAGCUAGUUGGUGUGGUAAAGGCUCACCAAGGCACCGAUCGGUAACUGGUGUGAGAGGACGAUCAGUCACACUGGAACUGAGACACGGUCCAGACUCCUACGGGAGGCAGCAGUGGGGAAUUUUCCGCAAUGGGCGAAAGCCUGACGGAGCAAUACCGCGUGAGGGAGGAAGGCUCUUGGGUUGUAAACCUCUUUUCUCAGGGAAGAAAAAAAUGACGGUACCUGAGGAAUAAGCAUCGGCUAACUCCGUGCCAGCAGCCGCGGUAAUUC
rnacentral:rRNA from 1 species